UUGUGUUUGACAGUGUGCGGCGCAUUUUAAGCACAUUUAGGCUUAGUUCGAGUGGCGCAGUUAGCGAAAAACAGCUCCGCCGUCCUGGCGCAGUUAAGUUCAGUUAAUGCCUCGUCCUGGGAGAUGUUUGCGACGCUUCCUAUGAGCCCCAACAUUACUGUAACUUAUUUCGGUAGUUUUUGGGCACGCUUGCCGCGCCCGGCUUAUUGACGCAGUAAGCGAAAACCGGCUCGGCCGUGUGGCGCAUUUGCGUGUGUACAGUCGAGCGCGAUUUCAAGGUUAUCGCGCGAGCAUAGAGAAAGGGAAAGAACAAGAGCGGACACUCGGCGAAAAUUGUCAACAGGAAACACGUCACGCUAUCGUAUUAACACCGACGAAUUUGGGCCGCGAGCAUCGAAAAAAAGAAGAAUGUGAAAUGAGAUUAACAGAAAUUGUUUUAUUUUUUUUUAUUCUUUCCCGGAAAAAUUAAAUAUACCUGCGUAUAAAUUAGAUUAAACUUUGCGGCUUACUUCCGUUGCCUAGCGACAGGCGAACCGGCGAAUGACGAGCCAGAUGUUUGCGUCAUUCGUCAGACACACCGCCGAAGCGAGAGAGACCGGCCGCGCAUCUGAGCGUUGGACUGUUCGGGCACCCGUCUGCCUGUUUUUCUAUUUGGGGAUUUAGCCUGGUUUGGUGGCCUCCCGGCGAAUUAUUGCGUUCAUUCGGAACUUCGACAUGGCAGCACUGCACUAUUGGACUACGGUAAGCUCACGUCGUCUGGUGGAGCUUCCUGCGGAAACUACUGCUGCUUACCUGGUGCCACAACGCUGGAUGAAUGCACAAAAAGCCCGCGACGAGCAUUUACAAGGAAUAAAAUAAACGUAAAUUUUUCCUCAUUUCACAA